GAUCUCUUGGUGCAAUGGUAGCAUUGCUUUAUUCUUAAUGUUUAAAGUAGAUCCAGGUUCGAUUCCUGGGGAGGUUC